UACGGAGGGCGCGAGCGUUGUCCGGAUUUAUUGGGCGUAAAGAGCUCGUAGGCGGCUUGGCGCGUCGAAUGUGAAAACUCGGGGCUCAACUCCGAGCUUGCAUUCGAUACUGGCAGGCUAGAGUUCGGUAGGGGAGACUGGAAUUCCUGGUGUAGCGGUGAAAUGCGCAGAUAUCCGGAGGAACACCAGUGGCGAAGGCGGCUCACUGGCCCGAUACUGACGCUGAGGCACGAAAGCGUGGGGAGCAAACAGG
rnacentral:rRNA from 1 species